GGGCUCAAUACAGCAGCAUAUACACUAAAAGGGAAAGGACACAGAGAUUUCAUGGCUGUUGUACAAGGACGUCACAUAAAUUCAUGAAGUGUUCCAUAUUUGC
ensembl:snRNA U6 U6 spliceosomal RNA